ACCCAGAUGCUAGCCUUUCCUCUGAUAUUCACUUUCUCGUUUAUUCCAUUUGCUUUACUGCGACCAAACGAAGGAAAAUUCGAUUCUUUCAUUGAGAUUUGCUGAUCCAUUCUUGGAUCACUGGUUACAAUUGAGAGUACGACCGGAGCUUGCAGCAGUAAGCUGAGGAGAGCUUACGACAGGCUUGUAGCGCGCCAAAAGUUAGUAUUUUGCUAGCAUAAUAUGUAUAUCACGGGGCUGCUGGUGUGGUUUGCUUUACAAAUUUCCAUGUCCAUUUUCUUGUCGUUCAUUUGCGGAUACCGCCAUGUUUUUGAUGUGUAUAAUAAUGGCUGUUUAUUUGACAAAAAAAUGAUAUGCUUGGAUUAAGUCUGUAAAGUCUUUAAGGUCGGUUUAGGUUCGAUGUACACAGAUCCUCUUAUGGAACUUACAUUUCUUGGAAUGUUAAUGCAUUGGCACGCUUUAGUAUAUGUUAAUUAAUUUCCAUUUUGGUCUU